rnacentral:rRNA from 1 species
CCUACGGGAGGCAGCAGUGGGGAAUAUUGCACAAUGGGCGCAAGCCUGAUGCAGCGACGCCGCGUGGGGGAUGAAGGCCUUCGGGUUGUAAACCCCUUUCAGCAGGGAAGAAGCGCAAGUGACGGUACCUGCAGAAGAAGCGCCGGCUAACUACGUGCCAGCAGCCGCGGUAAU